rnacentral:rRNA from 1 species
AUUGAACGCUGGCGGCAUGCUCUACACAUGCAAGUCGAACGGUAACAGGCCGCAAGGUGCUGACGAGUGGCGAACGGGUGAGUAAUGCAUCGGAACGUGCCCAGUCGUGGGGGAUAGCGCAGCGAAAGCUGUGCUAAUACCGCAUACGAUCUAUGGAUGAAAGCGGGGGACCGUAAGGCCUCGCGCGAUUGGAGCGGCCGAUGUCAGAUUAGGUAGUUGGUGGGGUAAAGGCCUACCAAGCCGACGAUCUGUAGCUGGUCUGAGAGGACGACCAGCCACACUGGGACUGAGACACGGCCAAGACUCCUACGGGAGGCAGCAGUGGGGAAUUUUGGACAAUGGGCGCAAGCCUGAUCCAGCAAUGCCGCGUGCAGGAAGAAGGCCUUCGGGUUGUAAACUGCUUUUGUACGGAACGAAACGGUCUGGGUUAAUACCCUGGGCUAAUGACGGUACCGUAAGAAUAAGCACCGGCUAACUACGUGCCAGCAGCCGCCGUAAAAC